rnacentral:rRNA from 1 species
CCAGACAGCCAGGAUGUUGGCUUAGAAGCAGCCAUCAUUUAAAGAAAGCGUAAUAGCUCACUGGUCGAGUCGGCCUGCGCGGAAGAUGUAACGGGGCUAAACCAUGCACCGAAGCUGCGGCAGCGACACUAUGUGUUGUUGGGUAGGGGAGCGUUCUGUAAGCCUGUGAAGGUGUGCUGUGAGGCAUGCUGGAGGUAUCAGAAGUGCGAAUGCUGACAUAAGUAACGAUAAAGCGGGUGAAAAGCCCGCUCGCCGGAAGACCAAGGGUUCCUGUCCAACGUUAAUCGGGGCAGGGUGAGUCGACCCCUAAGGCGAGGCCGAAAGGCGUAGUCGAUGGGAAACAGGUUAAUAUUCCUGUACUUGGUGUUACUGCGAAGGGGGGACGGAGAAGGCUAUGUUGGCCGGGCGACGGUUGUCCCGGUUUAAGCGUGUAGGCUGGUUUUCCAGGCAAAUCCGGAAAAUCAAGGCUGAGGCGUGAUGACGAGGCACUACGGUGCUGAAGCAACAAAUGCCCUGCUUCCAGGAAAAGCCUCUAAGCAUCAGGUAACAUCAAAUCGUACCCCAAACCGACACAGGUGGUCAGGUAGAGAAUACCAAGGCGCUUGAGAGAACUCGGGUGAAGGAACUAGGCAAAAUGGUGCCGUAACUUCGGGAGAAGGCACGCUGAUAUGUAGGUGAAGUCCCUCGCGGAUGGAGCUGAAAUCAGUCGAAGAUACCAGCUGGCUGCAACUGUUUAUUAAAAACACAGCACUGUGCAAACACGAAAGUGGACGUAUACGGUGUGACGCCUGCCCGGUGCCGGAAGGUUAAUUGAUGGGGU